GCGAUGGUAGCUCAGUCGGGUGAGCGCCCGCUUCUCAAUCAAGAGAUGCGGGUUCGAAUCCCGGCGCUGACAUGUA
rnacentral:tRNA from 1 species